AUUGAACGCUGGCGGCAGGCCUAACACAUGCCAGUCGAGCGGAUGAAGGGAGCUUGCUCCUGGAUUCAGCGGCGGACGGGUGAGUAAUGCCUAGGAAUCUGCCUGGUAGUGGGGGAUAACGUCCGGAAACGGGCGCUAAUACCGCAUACGUCCUGAGGGAGAAAGUGGGGGAUCUUCGGACCUCACGCUAUCAGAUGAGCCUAGGUCGGAUUAGCUAGUUGGUGGGGUAAAGGCCUACCAAGGCGACGAUCCGUAACUGGUCUGAGAGGAUGAUCAGUCACACUGGAACUGAGACACGGUCCAGACUCCUACGGGAGGCAGCAGUGGGGAAUAUUGGACAAUGGGCGAAAUCCUGAUCCAGCCAUGCCGCGUGUGUGAAGAAGGUCUUCGGAUUGUAAAGCACUUUAAGUUGGGAGGAAGGGCAGUAAGUUAAUACCUUGCUGUUUUGACGUUACCAACAGAAUAAGCACCGGCUAACUUCGUG
rnacentral:rRNA from 1 species